CUGACGGCCCUGAAGACUGAAAUUGUCUGGUUUAUUCACAGAACAGGUGUAGCAUGGGCAGCGGCAGCAGUAUGCAGCCCUUCCUCAAACCAUUCUAGUAAUGUGCCUGAGACAACCAUGAUUUAAAGGCUUCAUCUCUAGGGGUUGGAGGGUAGUUAAUUCUUCAUGUUCAAUCCCUGUUGCCUCU
ensembl:misc_RNA